rnacentral:misc_RNA from 1 species
AAACAAUAAGGGCAAGAAUAAGGUGAAAUGUGUAUUUGCCAAAAUGAGUCAAGAAGGUGAGAAAAUGUGUUAAACCACAAAGUACAAUGAAUGCUCCGAAUUGAAAGAGCACCCAUUUGAACGGAAAACUAGAACAGGAAACGAAGUAGAUGAUCUCGAUUGGGAUGGAAAAAUAGGCCACUGCUAUACCGAGAUCACCGGCUUUUUGAACAAAUAACAUUGUUUCCAUGCUAAAAAAUGCAUCACUAUCAUCACAAGGACAUUCAAUAUAACCAUCAACAACCCAUAAGGAAGCAACGAUCGAUAAAAACAACAACCAUGAUACUACUUUCUUCAUCAUUGCAUCCAAUAGAACUACUCUUGUUUACACCAAUGCUGCUUAAUGUACAAGUACAACCCUUUUACUUUCUCUUCUGAGCUCCAAUGCAACUUUAAUUUCAAGAACAGAAAUUUCUCUUAUGAAGAAAAAGUAGAACUGUUGAAGCAGUGUUGUUUCAUAGAGAGAAAAAG